ensembl:lncRNA
CUUUAAGGGCUGGCAGCUGAAAGGGAAACAUCUCUACAUGUAGAUUGCCUCUUUUGGGAAUUUCCAGUGAGCCCCGAUCCUCAGAAAAGGGAGAGACAUUCAGAUAUCAUCAGCCCUUGUUUUCUUAUUGUAAACUGCCAUUUGCAGCGCUUGUGACAAAACAGGCGAAGACUUGCUGUUUUGCAGAGGUUCUCUGAAGAUUAAUAUUAUCCCUCAUUUGCAGAACCAUUAAAAACUUGUAAUCAAGCAAAUGAGAACGUAAAUCUGUACAUUUUGGACAGAUUUUCUACAAUCAUUCCCAAACAUAAUUUUUUAAGUGAUAGGAUCACAUUUCAUCUGAAUAUCAAGAAGUUGAAAUCUACAGCUGAAUGCAUCUCUUGUCAGAUAGUCCAUAUCUGAGAAAGGAGAUGAGAAGUAGCUUCUUGUGGAUUGCAGAUUGCAGAGUACUAACCCCAUAAGCAGAUUGCAGAGUACUUACUGAAAGAUUCAAGAGCUCAGCACUGCCCCUCCGCUCCCUUCAUGAGGAGCUAUAGGCUGCCAUGAGGCCUCCCCUGAGCUAGACAAAGUCAAAACGGCAUGAUCCCAGUCAGUCUGAAGAAGCAGACUGAGCCACUGUUCUCAUAGGAAAGCUUCAACAAUGAAGAAUUCAUUGAUUUCCCAAAGGGCAGGAGGUUGUAUAUUACACCAAACCAAUCCUGCUGUACCCCUCCACUGAAGUACAAGAGAUGAAGAGCUAAAAGUGACUAAAAUAAAAAAAGAGGUUAUCAAAUGACAGAGUGAGACCCUAUAAUGAGGGUCAUGGGUUGCCCCAUUUAAAGACAGAAGGAACACUAUUCCAACGGGUGCUAGAAGAAAUCCAUAGCAAUCCAUUUCUUUUGGAAGAUCAGAGCACUCUUGUACGCUGAAGAAACUAGACAUGUCCUUUUUUCCAUAUCACUAGGAAAGCUCUUGUAACUCUAGCAAACCGCUACUGAGCGCAGAAACACAUUCAAAUGGAAUGUUUCCAUUGCUGUUCCAUAUUUACUGGACAUAAUCAUUUGUUUUAUAUAGAGUACUAUAUUUUGAGCAUAUAGGUAGCAAAUAAUACUGCAAGCUUCUAAAAUCUAGAAAAAACAGAAUGAACACUGCUUAAGUAUUCUCAGAGCAAAGCGUACCUUCUUUCAAAAAUUUCUUUAUCUAAAUUCAUUUAUUCUACAUCAUUUCCCUCUCCAAAGAACACUGGACAGAAACUUUCAGAACUUUUUUUCAACACAAUAUAGCACAAAAAUACUAGGCUGCUCUGAAGAAUUAAAAGGAUUAUUACUAAAAAAAAAAAGUAUACAAUUGGAUAGCUAACCGAACAUUUAUUCAAAAUGAAAGGUUUUAAUCUGUCAGUGAAGUUGAGUUGAACUUAUCUCGAUAACCAGCCAAAACCUACAGUAUUUCAGCAUAACACAAGCAUUGAUGCUACCAGACAGCCACCUUGAAGCCUACAGUAUAAACAGACAUUCACUCUGUAUACUGAAAAUGUGCUGGUUGGUAUUGUAAAAUCAUACAGCUGUUUUGAGCAAGCAUCUUAGAAUUCCUCCUGUGUCAAACCAUCACCAGCUGCAGCCAAUCUGCUCUAUAAUGAGAGCAAAUAUAUGUUUAAUUUGUUGUGUAUAGAAGAAAAUAUGGUGCAGUGGGGGAGGAGGAGCAGAAAUGAUAAAAGCAUGCCAUCCAACUGGAAUUAGUGAUCUAACAGCCUUUGUAUCAUUGUAACACGCUAGCCUAGGUUGUUCAAACUCUAAGACUGCCUCCCUGCUGUUCUAGAUACUUAAGUAGCAGAACACAAUCUUUCUUCCCAUCUUUCGAGGAUAUUUGCUAUAUGAUUUUUCUUCCAAUCCUAAAAGCAAGAUAGAAAGACAUUAUUUAACUGAGUGUAAACAAACAGAAGACCUGUUAUUAUCAAGAUAUUUCUAACUGUACUUCACCGAUUUCAAAGUGUGACAAAGUUAAUUUGUUCUAUUCUUCAAAUGUGGAAAUAUCAAAAGUAACGUUACGAGGAAGUUGAAAAAGUUGCACAUGCACGAGUCCUCACUAGUUAAGUCAGAAUUCUCUCUUUAUCUUCACACAUUUUCUUUGAUUAAAAUAACAACCCUAUGUAACUCCACUGAGGCCUGAGUAGAAAGUGCUCCUCGAUGACUAAUAUUUACAAACAUGUCUUCCCUACAGGCAAACUUAUAGUUAAUUGCUACUAAAUAACUAAGAUACCCCAGUGAUCUGAGUUAGGAAUACUAAACGUAAAACUGCAAGUUCAAAAUUAAGAUAGGUGGUUAUGUGCUACUAAUGUUAAACGUUCCUGAGAAGUGGCAUUCCUUGUCUUUUUCCAUUCCCUUUUAAUUCCUGAUGAACGUACAUCAGUGACUCACAACGUGCCACAAAAGUGUUCUACUGAGAGAGCAUAAUAAAAAGAUUGUACCUAAAAAACUAAAUGUAGUUUUUCAAACUUAUCUUGUCUAGACCUUACAAGCAGAACAAAGAAUAUCGCGACUAAAGCUUCACUCAUUUCCAGCAAGUACAGCUAUGUUUUCCUCAAAGCAGAAAAGUGCAAAAGGCAGAAAAGAAGGCAGUCUAAUUUUUUGUAUGUUGAUGUUAUGUCAAGGCAGAACAAUGAAAAAAUACAGUUUAACACCAUAUCCGUAAUUACAAAAAGCUAUUGGGUUUUGAGAUCUUUUGCAUGAGAACUGGCUUCAGUGUGUCAGAGUGUACAGCUAAACCUCUCAAAUCCUUCCCGUCCUUCAACCUACUGUCAGCUUUCAGAACAUCACAGCUCUGGAAUUCUUUCUAAGAUUUUCCUGCAGGGUUUCAAUAGGGAAUACUAAUCCAGUGGUAACAAGAAUCUGGGUCUCCCGAUCACGUGACCGCUGAAGUACAAGGCAGCUUCAACCAGGGAAACUCCACAGUAGCAGCAAGUCCUGGUGAAGAACACCCCCUCGAACCAACAUUUCAUGAGUAGAUUGACAAUGCUAGUAAAGUACUCUCAGGGUUUAUGCAAUUUUUUUUCUAUAGUGAAAUAAAAAUUCAAAGUUCAAAUUUUUAAAAUAAGAGUAUGAUGAAAAUACAGUAAGACAGUAGUAAAGCUCUGGAAUGAAAAAUUAGAAAGAAUACCUCAGAAUUAUUCCUUUAGAUUUAAGUCACUACUAGGCCCUCACGCUUUCUGAAAUUACUUCACCAAACCUCCUGCCUUGCUCUCUGUGGGAAUACAAGAAAGACUAUUCAGAACAGCACCUGUAGAGCAAGAUAAAUGAAAGCAAUGCUGAGAACCAAGGAAGAAGAGAAAAGCAAGUCAAGUAAGUUGCGCGAUGGCCGUAUGGUAAUUACCCUGACUGAAGGAAGAGUGUGUGGCUAAGAAUGGCUCAUGGCUCUGACUGGAUAAGUGCCUGUGUGCACGGUUAAGGAGUGUUUGCGGAAUGUUUUGUUGACAUGUAAAGGUGGGUGGGAAAGUUAAGAGAAAACUUGUGACUGCAUAAGGGAUGCUAGAACCUGUAAUAAACAUUUUGGAUUGUUCACAUCUGAGUCCAUGCCUCACUGCCACAGCCUACGAUUCUGUUAUUCAUUAAUCUUUCUGAGCUCCUCAGUUCUGAGAAAGAAACUAACUUUGCAAUGGAG